rnacentral:rRNA from 1 species
AUCGAUGAAGAACGCAGCGAAAUGCGAUAAGUAAUGUGAAUUGCAGAAUUCAGUGAAUCAUCGAAUCUUUGAACGCACAUUGCGCCCUCUGGUAUUCCGGAGGGCAUGCCUGUUCGAGCGUCAUUUGAAGACAAUCAAGCCUCUGGCUUGGCUUUGAGGCUCUCGUCCCUUCACGGGGGCGGCCUCUAAACGUGUCGGCGGUGGCCCCGAGCCUCUAGCGUAGUAGAAUACAUUCCGCUUAGAGUCCUCUCGUGCUUCCUGCCUCCAAACCCCCCAACAUNUCCUAAGAUUGACCUCGGAUCAGGUAGGGAUACCCGCUGAACUUAAGCAUAUCAAUAAGCGGAGGAAAAGAAACCAACUGGGAUUGCCCUAGUAACGGCGAGUGAAGCGGCAAUAGCUCAAAUUUGAAAUCUUGCUCCUUCGGGGCACGAGUUGUAAUUUGCAGAGGGUGUUCCGGCGUCGGGCCCGCGCUAGGUUCCUUGGAACAGGACGUCAUAGAGGGUGAGAACCCCGUCUUCGCGUGGGAUUCCUUCGCCGUGUGGGACCCCUUCAAAGAGUCGAGUUGUUUGGGAAUGCAGCUCUAAACGGGAGGUAAAUUCCUUCUAAGGCUAAAUACCGGCCAAAGACCGAUAGCGCACAAGUAGAGUGAUCGAAAGAUGAAAAGCACUUUGGAAAGAGAGUUAAAAAGCACGUGAAAUUGUUGAAAGGGAAGCUCUUGCAGCCAGACUUGGACGCGCGGGUUCAGCGGCCCUUCUGGGCCGUGUACUCCUGCGCGUACGAGCCAGCAUCGGUUUCCGGGGCCUGAUAAAAGCCGCUGGAAUGUGGCUCCCCUCGGGGAGUGUUAUAGCCUGCGGCACAAUGGGGCCACCGGGGACCGAGGACCGCGCAUUGCUAGGAUGCUGGCGUAAUGGCUGUAAGCGACCCGUCUUGAAACACGG